AAAAAUAUAAAAGCCCUCACUUGAGAGAGCGACCGCCGCGGUGGAGGGGCCCAGGGCUGCGCCCCAAGUCUUGGGCACCCUAGCCCACCCCUCAGGUGUUACAUGUAGACACAUGUGGCCCCCUUGCCCGGAUGUUUGACCUACAGCAGGAGCCAGCUACCUUCAGGUUGGACGUGGAUGGACCCAGCCUGGGAUGGAUCCCAGGGGUCUCGACCAGGCACAGCUAGUAUCCGGGUACGGGAGCUGAGCUGGCAGGGCCUAAACAACCCCCAACCACAAAACAAGAGACUGGGCAGCCAUGGGGAUAUCUACAGGGAGCGGCGGGUGGAGGAGCAUCUAUCCCCUGCACGACUGGUAUGCUGUGGCUGGAUGCUGCUCAGCAGGCCUCUGGGCUCCAACUGCAUUGUUGGGUCUGUUCUGAAGGUCUCAUCUGGAGACUGGCACCCCAAGUGCAGGCCCUUCCCUGGCAGCACUCCUUCCCUGAUAGUCAAACAGUUACAGUCUCUGCUCACGUCAUGUUCACCAGCCAAACUCUUAUGGAAAGUCCAACCUGGAUGAGUCAGGGAGCACCUCCACCUGCUCCAGUAGGCACCUUUACAGAGUCCUCAGCCAAGAGCAUGGAGAGAACCUGGAGUGACACCUGAUGAUUUCUGCAGCAGGCCCUGGCCCAGGUAGAUGACCUCCAACUGGUGAGGGUCCUGGAGAUGUGUGUGGACACCCGUAAGAACAGCCUGGGGAACUUCGGUGAGAGUCGCUGGUCACACCCAUGCCCCUGUGACUAUCACAGCUAGACCUUUCAAUGAGUCAAUUGUAUUUCCUGGUUGUAAAUGAAAAGCUAGCAAAC
rnacentral:lncRNA from 1 species